UACAGAGGGUGCUAGCGUUGUUCGGAAUCAUUGGGCGUUAAAGGGCGUGUAGGCGGUUUGUUAAGUCAUGUGUGAAAACCCACGGCUCAACCGUGUGGUCUGCAGUCGAUACGGGCAGGCUAGAGUUCGGUAGGGGAGACUGGAAUUCCUGGUGUAGCGGUGAAAUGCGCAGAUAUCAGGAGGAACACCGGUGGCGAAGGCGGGUCUCUGGGCCUUACCUGACGCUGAGGCGCGAAAGCUAGGGGGAGCAACAGG
rnacentral:rRNA from 1 species